rnacentral:rRNA from 1 species
UACGUAGGGUGCGAGCGUUAAUCGGAAUUACUGGGCGUAAAGCGUGCGCAGGCGGUUUUGUAAGCCAGAUGUGAAAUCCCCGGGCUUAACCUGGGAAUGGCAUUUGGGACUGCAAGGCUUGAGUGCGGCAGAGGAGACUGGAAUUCCUGGUGUAGCAGUGAAAUGCGUAGAUAUCAGGAGGAACACCGAUGGCGAAGGCAGGUCUCUGGGCUGACACUGACGCUCAUGCACGAAAGCGUGGGGAGC